CCCAAGACUUGGAGAGCAUUCCAGAGCAAGCAUGACCACAUCAAGUCUGCUCCUUUUGGAUGUGUGAACUGUUACACCACAGUUUUGGUUUGCCUCAUGUCCAGCAUUGUUAUACCUGCAUGUGAUUCCUGGAGCUACUGCAGUCAUCUGAUACCUGGGGAGACCACCCUUGACUGGGUAUGUAUGUAUAGCAGGUGACAGAACCAUGUUCAUUAUAUUAGAUCAGAAACCAGAUGGGCUGCUCCAACCUGUGGGAAAAGGCUAAAACGCUGCUCCUUGAGAACAGGGUCAAGACUUCCACAGACCCAGCAAAAUUCCUUGCAUAUUAAAGGAACAGAGAAAGACAACUCAAGAUAAUGAUUUUCUAUGCUGGACGGGAGACUGGCAAAUACACAUUUUAUUCUGGCUGUGACGUUGAUGCUAUGGAGUUCAGGAAAAGUACGCUCAGUGGAUGUAGCAACAGAGGUCUGAUGCAGAAGCUGGUACAUAGCGGAUGCUUAAUAGCUUGAAUCAAUAAGGCUUUUCAUUCUGGAGUCAUAGAUGUGCAGUCACCGCCCACAGUCAGGGAAGAGAAAUCAGCCACUAACCUGGCAGCAAAACUCUUGCUUCUUGAUGAACUUGUGUCUCUGGAGAAUGAUGUAAUUGAAACAAAGA